ensembl:rRNA 5S_rRNA 5S ribosomal RNA
GUUGAUAGCCAUGCCAGCCUGAAUACGCCCAAUCUCAACUGAUCUAAGAACCUAAGCAGGGUCAGACCUCGGUAAUACUUGGAUGGGAGACCAGCCGGGAUUACUGAGUGCUAUAUGCU